GACGAACGCUGGCGGCGUGCUUAACACAUGCAAGUCGAACGGUGAAGCGCCUUCCUUUUUGGUGGGUGUGGAUGAGUGGCGAACGGGUGAGUAACACGUGAGUAACCUGCCCCCUUCUUCUGGAUAACCGCAUGAAAGUGUGGCUAAUACGGGAUAUUCUGGGUCUGUCGCAUGAUGGGUCUGGGAAAGAUAUUGUUUCGGUGGGGGAUGGGCUCGCGGCCUAUCAGCUUGUUGGUUGGGUGAUGGCCUACCAAGGCGGUGACGGGUAGCCGGCCUGAGAGGGUGGACGGUGACACUGGGACUGAGACACGGACCAGACUCCUAAGGGAGGCAGCAGUGGGGAAUAUUGCACAAUGGGCGCAAGCAUGAUGCAGCGACGCCGCGUGAGGGAUGGAGGCCUUCGGGUUGUGAACCUCUUUCGCCAGUGAAGCAGGCCUGCCUCGUUUGUGGGUGGGUUGACGGUAGCUGGAUAAGAAGCGCCGGCUAACUACGUG
rnacentral:rRNA from 1 species